rnacentral:rRNA from 1 species
AACGAACGCUGGCGGCGUGCCUAACACAUGCAAGUCGCACGAGAACGUAGACUUCGGUCUGCUAGUAAAGUGGCGCACGGGUGAGUAACACGUGGGUAAUCUGCCUUCAGGAUCGGGAUAACGGAGGGAAACUUCCGCUAACACCGGGUAAGACCACGGCCCUGCGGGGUAGUGGUAAAAGGUGGCCUCUACUUGUAAGCUUCUGCCUGAAGAUGAGCCCGCGGCCCAUUAGCUAGUUGGCGGGGUAAUGGCCCACCAAGGCGACGAUGGGUAGCUGGUCUGAGAGGACGAUCAGCCACACUGGGACUGAGACACGGCCCAGACUCCUACGGGAGGCAGCAGUGGGGAAUAUUGCGCAAUGGGCGAAAGCCUGACGCAGCGACGCCGCGUGAGGGAUGAAGGUUCUCGGAUCGUAAACCUCUGUCAGGAAGGAUUAAAUGUAUGGAUGCGAAUAUCAUCCAUGCUUGACUUAACUUCCAAAGGAAGCCCCGGCUAACUACGUGCCAGCAGCCGCGGUAAGAC